AAACUACUCACUCCGUCCGGGAAUACUUGUCAUAGGAAUGGAUGUAUCUAGAUGUAUUUUAGUUCUAGAUACAUCUAUUUUUAUCUAUUUGUGCGACAAAUAGUUACGAACGAAGGGAGUAUAAA
rnacentral:pre_miRNA from 1 species